AGGACGAACGCUGGCGGCGUGCUUAACACAUGCAAGUCGAGCGGAAAGGCCCUUCGGGGUACUCGAGCGGCGAACGGGUGAGCAACACGUGAGUAAUCUGCCCCUAGCUCUGGGAUAGCUCCGGGAAAACCGGGAUUAAUACCAGAUACGACCACUUUAGACAUCUGUUGUGGUGGAAAGAAUUUUGGCUAGGGAUGAGCUCGCGGCCUAUCAGCUUGUUGGUGAGGUAACGGCUCACCAAGGCGACGACGGGUA
rnacentral:rRNA from 1 species